rnacentral:rRNA from 1 species
GAUUCUGGCUCAGGAUGAACGCUGGCGGCGUGCUUAACACAUGCAAGUCGAACGAGGCUUGUCGACGGAAAUUUCGGAUGGAAGACGGCAUGACCGAGUGGCGGACGGGUGAGUAACGCGUGGGGAACCUGCCCCAUUCCGGGGGAUACCAGUUGGAAACGACUGUUAAUACCGCAUAAGCGCACGGGAAGGCAUCUUCCAGUGUGAAAAAACUGAGGUGGAAUGGGAUGGCCCCGCGUCUGAUUAGCCAGUUGGCAGGGUAACGGCCUACCAAAGCGACGAUCAGUAGCCGGCCUGAGAGGGCGACCGGCCACAUUGGGACUGAGACACGGCCCAAACUCCUACGGGAGGCAGCAGUGGGGAAUAUUGCACAAUGGGGGGAACCCUGAUGCAGCCGACGCCGCGUGAGUGAGGAAGUAUUUCGGUAUGUAAAGCUCUAUCAGCAGGGAAGAAGAUGACGGUACCUGCACAAGAAGCCCCGGCUAACUACGUGCCAGCCGCGGC